rnacentral:rRNA from 1 species
CAGUCGCCGCGGUAAUACAGAGGAUGCAAGCGUUAUCCGGAAUGAUUGGGCGUAAAGCGUCUGUAGGUGGCUUUUCAAGUUCGCCAUCAAAUCCCAAGGCUCAACCCUGGACAGGCGGUGGAAAAUACCAAGCUGGAGUACGGUAGGGGCAGAGGGAAUCUCCGGUGGAGCGGUGAAAUGCGUUGAGAUCGGAAAGAACACCAACGGCGAAAGCACUCUGCCGGGCCGACACUGACACUGAGAGACGAAAGCUAGGGGAGCAAAUGGGAUUAGAUACCCCCGUAGUCCCUGUCUCUUAUAC